rnacentral:rRNA from 1 species
GACGAACGCUGGCGGCGUGCUUAACACAUGCCAGUCGAACGGAAAGGCCCUGCUUUUGUGGGGUGCUCGAGUGGCGAACGGGUGAGUAACACGUGAGUAACCUGCCCUUGACUUUGGGAUAACUUCAGGAAACUGGGGCUAAUACCGGAUAGGAGCUCCUGCUGCAUGGUGGGGGUUGGAAAGUUUCGGCGGUUGGGGAUGGACUCGCGGCUUAUCAGCUUGUUGGUGGGGUAGUGGCUUACCAAGGCUUUGACGGGUAGCCGGCCUGAGAGGGUGGCCGGCCACAAUGGGACUAAGAUACGGCCCAGACUCCUACGGGAGGCAGCAGUGGGGAAUAUUGCACAAUGGGCGGAAGCCUGAUGCAGCAACGCCGCGUGCGGGAUGACGGCCUUCGGGUUGUAAACCGCUUUCGCCUGUGACGAAGCGUGAGUGACGGUAAUGGGUGAAGAAGCACCGGCUAACUACGUG